rnacentral:rRNA from 1 species
GCAAGCCGAGGGGUAAGUUCCGACUUGUCGGAAACACGACCGGCGAACGGGUGAGUAACGCGUAUGCAACCUGCCUUUAACUGGAGAAUAGCUCUCGGAAACGGGAAUUAAUACUCCAUAAUAUCUCGACAUCGCAUGUUGUUGAGAUCAAAGCUUCGGCGGUUAAAGAUGGGCAUGCGUGCCAUUAGCUUGUUGGUGAGGUAACUGCUCACCAAGGCUGUGAUGGCUAGGGGGUCUGAGAGGAUGAUCCCCCACACUGGUACUGAGACACGGACCAGACUCCCACGGGAGGCAGCAGUGAGGAAUAUUGGGCAAUGGGUGAAAGCCUGACCCAGCCAUAUCGCGUGCAGGAUGACAGCUUUCGGGUUGUAAACUGCUUUUCUACGGAAAGAAACCCCCGAACGUGUUCGGGGCUGACGGUACCGUAAGAACAAGGAUCGGCUAACUCCGUGCCAGCAGCCGCGGUAAUACGGAGGAUCCAAGCGUUAUCCGGAUUUAUUGGGCUUAAAGGGUGCGCAGGCGGAAUAGUAAGUCAGUGGUGAAAUCCUAUAGCUUAACUAUAGAAACUGACAUUGAUACUGCUAUUCUUGAGUUCAGUUGAGGUGGGUGGAAUGUGUGAUGUAGCGGUGAAAUGCAUAGAUAUCACACAGAACAACAAUUGCGAAGGCAGAUCACUAAAACUGAUACUUGAAGCUGAAGCACGAAAGCGUGGGGAGCGAACAGGAUUAGAUAACCUGGUAGUACAAGCUGUAAACGUAGAUUACUAGCUGUUGGGCGAUAAAUGGUCAGCAGCAUAGUGAAAGCAAUUAAGUAAUCCGCCUGGGGAGUACGUCCGCAAGGAUGAAACUCAAAGGAAUUGACGGGGGCCCGCACAAGCGGAGGAACAUGUGGUUUAAUUCGAUGAUACGCGAGGAACCUUACCUGGGCUUAAAUGUAGAACGACGUUCCGUGAAAGCGGAAUUCCCUUCGGGGCGUUCUAUAAGGUGCUGCAUGGCUGUCGUCAGCUCGUGCCGUGAGGUGUCGGGUUAAGUCCCAUAACGAGCGCAACCCCUAUUGUUAGUUGCCAGCGGAUAAUGCCGGGGACUCUAACGAAACUGCCAGUGCAAACUGUGAGGAAGGUGGGGAUGACGUCAAGUCAGCACGGCCNUUAUGUCCAGGGCUACACACGUGUUACAAUGGUCAGUACAAAAGGCAGCUACCUGGCAACAGGACGCAAAUCUUUAAAACUGGUCUUAGUUCGGAUCGAAGUCUGCAAUUCGACUUCGUGAAGGUGGAUUCGCUAGUAAUCGCGCAUCAGCCACGGCGCGGUGAAUACGUUCCCGGGCCUUGUACACACCGCCCGUCAAGCCAUGGAAGCUAGGGUACCUGAAGUUC